rnacentral:rRNA from 1 species
UACGGGGGGAGCAAGCGUUGUUCGGAUUUACUGGGCGUAAAGGGCGCGUAGGCGGCGCGACAAGUCACUUGUGAAAGCCCGGGGCUUAACCCCGGGUCUGCAUUCGAUACGGGCUAGCUAGAGUGUGGUAGGGGAGAUCGGAAUUCCUGGUGUAGCGGUGAAAUGCGCAGAUAUCAGGAGGAACACCGGUGGCGAAGGCGGAUCUCUGGGCCAUUACUGACGCUGAGGAGCGAAAGCGUGGGGAGCGAACAGG